rnacentral:rRNA from 1 species
UACGAAGGGGGCUAGCGUUGUUCGGAAUCACUGGGCGUAAAAGCGCACGUAGGCGGAUCUUUAAGUCAGGGGUGAAAUCCCAGAGCUCAACUCUGGAACUGCCUUUGAUACUGGGGAUCUCGGAGUUCGGGAGAGGUGAGUGGAACUGCGAGUGUAGAGGUGAAAUUCGUAGAUAUCGCAAGAACACCAGUGGCGAAGGCGGCUCACUGGCCCGAUACUGACGCUGAGGUGCGAAAGCGUGGGGAGCAAACAGG